UCUGUGAGGUCUUCUCUCAUCUCUAGCCUUCCUCCUCCGUGCUCCUCCAUCGCUGUGUCUGCAUCACUCAUUUAGAAGCCCCAGAAUGACUUAUAUUUGCUGGAAUAAUGAAUUUUUUAGGAAGCAGUGUGGUCAGUUUCCAUAACAACUGAAAUAGCAGUUAGAAUUCCUGGACUGGAACUGACAGGCAGGUUGCUGCCGUUGUAGCUGCUUCUGGCAGGAUAGCUUUUAGGUUAAUUGUGAGCCUAAUCAGACACUUCUUAUACCAUAUGGCUGCUGCCUUCUUACAGGGAACAAGCAACAGCAACUCCUCUCCAUCCCCAAGCUGGCUAUUUCUUGCUCAUUUGCAAAAUAAUUUUAAGUGGGGACAAGUAAUGCACUGCCUGUCAUCUGAGUCAAAAAAGUGUUCAGGGAGAGUGUACCGUCUGGACCAAAGGGAAGAGUGACAAGGAUGGACCUCGUUAGCCCUUUGAAUGUUGUGUGCCUAUUACAACCUCUUUGUUCAUGAAGAAGGCAGUUCUGUAUCUAUUUAUAGAGAAAUGCCUUCCAAAGAACAGAUAAGGUAUCUCACAGGAUAAAGCCUGAUGAUCAAAAGGAUUGAAAAAGAUUCUAAGGUUGUCCACAAACAAGAUAUAAGGACAAUGCUGAUGUCCAAGACAGGGAUGCAAUCAUUGUCGAAAACAGAAAAUUAUUUGGAAAAUGUAAAAAUAUCCUAAAGAGCCUCAUGACAUCCCAUUAACAGGCUCCUACAGUUUUUCACAACCUUUUCUGGUACAUUUCUUUCCUUUUAUCUUUUUUAAAUCUCUUGAUCAUUAUCUUGCUAUUAUCCAAUCUAUUUUGGCUUCUUUUACUCUUCUCUGCUUUUCAUGGCCUGCCUAUUCCCCAAAUGUAACAUAGCCUAAAUUCCCAUUAAUACCUACCCAAAGCCUUGGUAGAAGUGCUUCCGUUUGGACAGUCAUCUCAUGUUACAGGUGAAAUGAGAGACUACUGCCACAAUAAUCCAGACAUCACUCAACGGCUGUGGCUUUCGGGAUAGCAGGAACUCAGAAAAUGUCUGCCAGAUACUCAAGUCUGAAAAACCAGAGUUUUAUCUGUUAUUCAGUCUUUCAGAAGGUAAAAAUGGCGUUCACCUGAAAAAACAACUAGUCCCACAGCUCAAACAAUCACACAGUGCUUUUCUUGAGAAAACCAUUCAACGUACCUGGUGUGCUGAAGUACCUACCCAUCUUCCCAUUUUGUCACACAAAAUAUUACAGUGACAAGUACUUAAGGGUCAAAAUUAAACUUUUUCAUUGCACCAUCAAGAGCAUUCUUAAGUAAAACUGGCAAUUUCUUUCUUUCUUUCUUUCACUGUGAGUUUAUGGUGGUGAAGAAUACUAGAAUGAUUGGCUUUUAUUGGCACCACAGGUUUACAGCCAGCGCUUUUUCACCAUCAGAGAAAAGCAAAUAACCUCUUAGUGUUGUAAUGAAAACAGGGGACCAGAGUUUGUGGACCACACUUUGAGAACCCUAGGGUUAAUUGGAUUUGGGGAGCGUUGUUGAGCAGCUAUAUGAAGCCCUAGACUUAGGGUUUGGAAGAUCUUGCAGGAAAAUAGUCCCUUGUGCCUUGUUUUCACUUGUCCUUUGAAAAGCAAAUAACCUUACAAAUGGGAGGAAAUGGUCAGGGAAAAGGGGUGCAUCUACUGAAAGUCCCCAUUUCUCUGGGCUCCUGUGGGUCUGGAAAGGUUCUGAAUGUUUCUCUGUACCCAGUGGUGCAAGCGAGGCCUGAAAGGAAAGUGUGGACGCUUGUUAGAACUGGGAAAGAGGAAUGCAUCAAAAGGUCCAGCAGGAGACUCCAGAGCAGGGGCUGAAUGGAAGGUAGAGGGGACACACCUCAGGGACCAACAGUACUGGCAAGACUAGGACUAGAGGAAAAGUAAAGAAAACCCUCCAGAUGGGAGACAGUCCUAACUUGGAGACUGAACUUUGAGCUUGUCUAAGUCCACUUGGGCUGUUAUAACAACAUACCAUAGACUAAAAAGCAGAAACUUAUUUCUCACUGAUCUAGAGACAGGAAAUCCAAGAUCAGACCAUCAACAGAUUCAGGGACUGGCAAGAACCCAUCUCCUGGUUCCUAUACAUCCAUCUUCUCACAGUGUCCUUACAUGGUAGAAGGGGCUAGGGAGCUCUCUGUGGCCUCUGAGCCACCAGGGAAGCCCCAAAUAAUAGAUAAUAGUUUAACUGUGAUUAUUGUUGUUAAGUCCCUAAGUCAUGUCUGACUCUAAAUUAUUCACCUCUUCAUUAUGUUAUGUUGUUGGGUUAUAACAUAAUGUUUAUUAAUUUAUUAGUUUGUAAUAUAAUGUGUGCUCAGUCCUGUCUAACUCUUUGCAGUCCCAUGGACUGUAGUCCAACAGGCUCCUCUGUCCAUGGAAUAUUCCAGGUAAGAAUAUUGGAGUGAGUUGCCAUUUCCUCCUCCAGGGGGACUUCCUGACCCAGACAUCAAAUCCAUCUCCCUUGCAUCUCCUGCUUGGCAAGUGGAUUCUUUACCACUAAUCCUAUUCACGGGGCUUCUCUGGUGGUUUAAUGGUAAAGAAUCUGCCUGCCAAUCUAGGAGAUGUGGGUUAGAUCCCUGAGUCAGGAAGGUCCCCUGGAGAAAGAAAUGGAAACCUACUCCGGUAUUCUUGCCUGGAAAAUCCCAUGGAGAGAGGAGCCCAGCAGGCUAUAGUCCUUGGGAUCACGAAAGAGUCAGACAAGACUUAGCAACUAAACAACAAUCCUAUUCGCUAAGGCUCCACCCUCAUGACCUCAACACCUCCCAAAGGCCCCACCUCCUAAUACCAUCACAUGGGCCUUUGGGAUUUAACAUAGGAGUUGGGAGGACAAAGAACUGAACUUUCAGGAUUUCUGACUACCAGAAAUCACUGGGUUAGACUAAGAAAACUCACACUUGGUUGAGUUUCCACUAUGAAGACAAAACAGGCAACUCAUGAGCUAGGCUGGGUUCACACAGAGAAAUAUUCCCAUGUGACUCCAAGGCCCGGCUGCCCUAACUGUGAGAGAUCAUGCCAUUCUAGACGUAGUCGCGUGAUUGCCACAGCUCUUUCUCCCCUGAAGGGGCCCAGGUGAGUGUUGACACUCACUCUGACCAACACCUAUAUUUCCAAAGUCCAGGCCAUUCAAGAUGGGAGUAAUGGAAGAGAAGCAUUGGGCCACUUUCCCAGACAACCUCAGGUGCAUUUACACACCAAAGGAUAUCUUUCUAAUGUUGGAGAAAUGCAGGCAUUGUGUGCUGACAAUGAACCUACUUAAUUAUAUAAACCUUUUCACUGCCAAAAACUCUAAGUAUGGUUUGACUAGAACAAAACACUUUCUUCACAUCAAUGAAAAAGACCUCUGAGUGCCCCGUCUAUGUCUCUCCCAGGUAUGUGAAAUUCCAUUGUUUUGUAAAAGCACUUUUUAAAUUUUACUUUUUUAAUUGGAGUAUAAUUGCUUCACAAUGUUGUAUUAGUUCCUGCAGGACAAUGGCGCGAAUCCGCUAUAUGUAAACAUAUGUCUCCUCCCUCCUGAGCCUCCCUCCUGCACCCCUCACCCCUCAUCCCUCCCUCUAGGUUGUCACUGAGCACCAAGCUGAGCUCCUUGUGUUACAAAGCAGCUUCCUACCAGCUAAUAUUUUACACAUGAUAGUGCAUAGAAGUCAAUGCUACUCUCUCAAUCCAUCUCACCCUCUCGUUCCCCCUCUGUGUUCACAAGCCCAUUCUCUAUGUCUGCAUCUCUAUUUCUGCCCUGUAAAUAGGUUUAUCAGUAGCAUUUUUGGAGAUUCUGUACAUGUGCAUUAAUAUACAACAUUUAUUUUUCUCUUUCUGACUUACUUUAUUCUGUAUGACAGACUCUAGAUUCAUCUACAUCACUACAAAUGACCCAAUUUCAUUUCUUUUUAUGGCUGAGUAAUAUUCCACUGUACAUAUGUACCACAUCUUCUUUAUCCAUCAUCUGUCAAUGGAAAUUUAGAUUAUUUCCAUGUCCUGGCUAUUGUAAAUAAUGCUGCAGUUAACACUGGGGUACAUGUGUCUUUUUGAAUUAUGGCUUUCUCAGGGUAUAUGCCCAGGAGUCAGAUUGCUGGGUUAUAUGGUAGUUUGAUUCCUAGUUUUUUAAGAAAUCUCCAUAGUGUUCUCCAUAGUGGUUGUAUCCAUUUACAUUCCCACCAACUAUGCAAGAAGUUCCCUUUUCUCCGCAUCCUCUCCAGCAUUUAUUGUUUGUAGAUUUUUUGAUGAUGGCCAUUCUGACCAGUGUGAGGUGCUACCUAAUGAAAUUCUGUAUUAGCUUCAAAAAAGAAAGCAAUUUGAACCCAUAACAUUAUUUGAAUCAUUGCCAAACCCCUCCCAAAGCACAAUGAUUUCAGAAUAUACAUUGUGUCUUUUACAUAUUGUGAAUAUCUUUUUGUGAGUCCCAUGAAAACUGUUUUAGAAGGCCAAGGGCAACAAGUAGCAAAUAUUUGAGGAUUUGGUGCUGGUUGGACCUGAGGAAGCUUGGUGCUUCUGGGGUUUUUUUCUGUUUUAGAUGGAGCACCUUGACUCCAUAUUAAUCUCAAACAAUGAUUCACUAUGGAGGUGAAAGAAAAAAUAGCCUAAGCUAAAUGAUACAUAGACUUUAAGGGGGUUGCUUAAACUCCCCUAACAAUAAAUCUGCUCCCUUGCCACUAUAUUAAAUUCUUCCAUUAGGUAUAUAUGUAUUGUGGGGUUACUUUCAUUAGUUCAUUUGACAUAUUUUUUGAGUUUCUGCUAUAUAUCAACAAAAUGAUAAACUUAAGCUUACAAAGAUGAGAGAAGGCUUCCUAGUCUAAAGGAGCUUAUGUUGUAGAAAGGUGACAAAGAAAUAACACUGCUUGGUACUUGCAAUGGCAGAAGCAUAGGUGAUGGAGAGAAAGACGAAGUGGGGAUGAUGGGGUGGAGAGGGGACAUCAGAACCGUGUCCUGAGGGAGAAAAGGAAUUGGCCAAGAGCAAGUGGGAAAAAAACUUGGGAUGGGCCUACGGCACAGAGAGGGAACAAGUGUGCAAGAGGGAGUCCCAGGGGUGAGGGGGUGGAAAUUGGCAAGAGAUGCCAUUCAAGGAGAUAAGGAAUGUGGGAAGAAGUGGCUUUGGGCGAGUCAUAAAGAGUUCAGUUUUAAACAUUUCAAAAUUGAGAUGCUAAUAGGACAUCCAGAAGUAAUGUCCAUUAAACGAGAGGUUUUUGAGAUCUGGUACCCAGAAUGCAAGUUCUGGCUGUAGAUAGAGACAUGGAAUUCAGCAGGACGGCAAUGUUAGGUAAGGCCAUGUAUGCAGGAGAGAUUACCCAGUGGGCUUGAGUAGAGGGAGGCUAGAGGAAAUUUGAGAUCUGGAGGCUUGGAAAUACCUGUGCCAGAGCCAGAGAAUGAAAGAGAAGAAAGCAGAAAACAAGAGCAAAUGGUGUCAUAGAAGGCAAGGGAGGAGAUACUUUUACAUCCAGGAAACUUUCAAUAAAAUAUAAGGAGAGGACUUCCCUGUUGGUCCAUUGACCAUGUCCCCCUGUGCCCUCUUCUAUUCACGGCCCCCUGCAAAGAAUGUCAUAGAUAUUUUUGAACUUUAUGUAAAUGGAAUCACACUGUAUUAGUUUUUAUCUGUUUUCUUUCAAUAUAUCAUUUUAAUGACCACAUACUAUUUCUUUGUAUUGCUAUAUCAUAAUGUAUUCAGUCUAAUGUCAUGCAUUUUACUAAAAAUUUUUUAAUUAACUAAAUACUGUGGGGACUUUCCUGGCAGUCCAGUGGAAGACUGGACUCUGCCCUUCCAGCACAGGGGGCACAGGUUAGACCCCCUGACUGAGGAACUAAGAUCCCACGUGCUACACAGCACAACCAAAAAAAUAAAAUUUAAAAAUAAAAAAAUUUUAAUUAAUAUAAAAUAAAAAUAUUGUGAAUAUCUAUGUAACAAAACCAUUAUUUUUCCUCUUAGGAUAAAUCCACUGACCUGAAAACUUUUAAGACUUUUUAUUUAUAUUACCAAAUUGCCCUCUAGAAAUGUUGCACCAACUUUAUAUUCUCAUCACAGUUUGUAAAAUGUCCAAUUUCCACGGUAUGGCCCACAAUUGAACACAAAACCCCAGAUGUAAUCCAACUAAAUUUAUCCACAAUAAAUGUCCCUACCUGUCUUAAAUAUCCUUACUUCCUUUUACAGUACAAAAAUAGACCCCAAGCACAAAUAGUCUCCAAGUUCUCUGAUAAAGACAAAAAAAGAAUGGUAGUGUUGGAAAUGACCUUGGAAUUUAUCUAGUGCAAAAAGUGCAUUUUCAGCUAAGACUACAAAAGCCCAAAGAGGAGAAAUAUCAAAGCAGACAUAUUAUCCAAUGAAAACCAAACCAGAAAAUCAUGUGUAGGAAAAAAAAGUGCAAAGAAACAAAACAAAAUGCAUUUUGGGCAACUACAUUUGGAUAGUGAUACUAUGGGAGAUUUUUCAUUUUCUCACUUUUCUGAGUUGUCUAAAUCUUCAAUAAGGAGCAUGUAUUUCUUAUACAAUAGAGAAAAAUGACUGUAUAUAAGAGAAGGAAAAAAACAGAGAAGAGAAGCUGAGUUUAUAAAUUGCAUAUUAUAGUCAUUAAAUGCAUGUCUAGUGUCAUAAUGUGAAAGGGUUACAAGAUAGGGGGAAAGGUGGCUUGAUAAGUUUAAGAAGAUUUUGGAAGAAGAGUAUUCUGGAAGAGUAUGAAGUCCAAGAAUUCAUAAACGCAGCAAGCAGAGCCUGAGGAAGCAACUGUUAAAAGGCACCAGUCUGUAAGUGUGAUGAGUUGUGUUUGGAAUAGGCCAUGGAUGUUGCUAUGUGAAGGACAGGGCUUUUAGUGGCAUUUACUCAUGAGCAGUUUGGAAAUCUUGUCUCUGUUUGGAUGAGGCGAGGUUGGGGUGCUAUGAGUUGUAGGAGCAUCAUGGGAUGUAAAUGUUUAGGAAUCACCUUCAUAGAGCCUGUGACUUCCUCUCCCCCAAGACCUGAGCCUUCCUUGUCUACAUAAGAGGCAGAGUCAUGGAAUCCAGUUUCAGAGUCUUAUCUUAAUUAGACAUUUCACAUGUCUCGCUAAGGCUGUGAUGGUUUUAGCUGAAUGAAUCACAGAAUCACAAACUAUUAGAGUUGUCAGGACAGAGAUGAAAUUAUGUCUCCCAAAAGUCUCUAAGCUAAUAACUGGUGGGCCCUGAUAGAGUUGCCAGAUUUAAUCAAUAAAAAUAUUUAAUAAAAAAAAUCAACAAAAAAUAAAAAAUUUAUUUAAUCAAUAAAAAUCAAUAAAAAAUAAUCAAAAAAAAUAAAAAAUUUGGGUUUUAGAUAAGCAAUGAUCAUGUUUAGUGUAACUGGAGAGUCUGUGUUUCACCUGGCACCAUACUAGUCCAUGAUGAAAACCCACUGCCUGGUGACUGAAGACUGUGCAGUUCUCUUCUGAAAGCAGGCCAGUCUGAUUCCCAGAAUGGCCUUACAUAUGAGGGCCUAUAGAGCUUAGUGGCCACCGAGGUCAACCUGGCCCUUGGGGAUAGUUUUUUCAUCUGUAUAAAAGUUACAAAUAGCACCUACUUCACAUUGUUGUUGUGAAGAUUUAAUGAAUUAUUACAAACAAAACAUAUAGGAAAGAUACUUAUUAGGGUCAAAUACCAAACACUGUGAACUAAAUACCUUUAUCUGAACAGUCUGCAGUCACUUCUUCAACUUGUCGCUGACCCACUCCAUUGGUAUGAAAUAGGCUCACAGCCCGGUACCCAGUAUCUCCAGCUUGAUGCAGAGGAAACUAAAAGAAUCCCUCAUCUGCAACAGAAGGGAUGGCACCGAUUUUGAUAAGGCAGUGAGGAUUCUUAUUAACCAUUAUAGCAAAUAUUUGGAAAACUCAGCAGUGGCCACAGGACUGGAAAAGGCCAGUUUUCAUUCGAAACCCAAAGAAGAGCAAUGACAAAAAAUGUUCGAACUAUCACACAAUUGCACUCAUCUCACACGGUAGCAAAGUAAUGCUCAAAAUUCUCCAUGCCAGGCUAAAGUCAGAAUUUCAUGUGAACCAUGAAAUUCCAGAUGUUCAAGCUGGAUUUAGAAAAGGCAGAGGAACCAGAGAUCAAAUUGCCAAUAUCCACUGGAUCAUCGAAAAAGCAAAAGAAUUCCAUAAAAACAUCUACUUCUGCUUUAUUGAUUAUGCCAAGGCCUUUGAUUGUGUAGAUCACAACAAAUUGUGGAAAAUUCUUCAAGAGAUGGGAAUACCAGACCACCUUACCUGCCUCUUGAGAAAUCUGUAUGCAGGUCAAGAAGCAACAGUUAGAACUGGGCAUGGAACAACAGACUGGUCCCAAACUGGGAAAGGAGUACAUCAAGGCUGUAUGUUGUCACCCUGCUUUUUUUAACUCACUUGCAGAGUACAUCAUGAGAAACGCUGGGCUGGACGAAGCACAAGCUGGAAUCAAGAUUGCCAGGAGAAAUAUCAAUAACCUCAGAUAUGCAGAUGACACCACCCUUAUGGCAGAAAGUGAAGAAGAGCCUCCUGAUGAAAGUGAAAAAGGAGAGUGAAAAAGCUGGCUCAAAACUCAACAUUCAAAAAACUAAGAUCAUGGCAUCUGAUAGCAUCACUCCAUGGCAAAUAGAUGGGGAAAUAAUGGAAACAGUGAGAGACUUUAUUUUUGGGGCUCCCAAAUCACUGCAGAUGGUGACUGCAGCCAUGAAAUUAAAAGACGCUCACUCCUUGGAGGAAAAGUUAUGACCAACCUAAACAGCAUAUUAAAAAACAGAGACAUUAUUUUGCCAACAAAGGUCCAUCUAGUCAAGGCUAUGGUUUUUCCAGUAGGCAUGUAUGGAUGUGAGAGUUGGACCAUAAAGAAAGCUGAGCACCAAAGAAUUGAUGCUAUUGAACUGUGGUGUUGGAGAAGACUCUUGAGAGUCGCUUGGACUGCAAGGAGAUUAAACCAGACAAUCCUAAAGGAAAUCAGUACUGAAUGUUCAUUGGAAGGACUGAUGUUGAAGCUGAAACUCCAGUACUUUGGCCACCUGACGCAAAGAACUGACUCGUUUGAAAAGACCGUGAUGUUGGGUAAGACUGAAGGCAGGAGAAGAGGACAGCAGAGGAUGAGAUGGUUGGAUGGCAUCGCUUACUCAAUGGACAAGUUUGAGCAAGCUCCGGGAGUUGGUGAUGGACAAGGAAGCCUGGCGUGCUGCAGUCCAUGGGGUCGCAAAGAGUUGGACGUGACUGAGCGACUGAGCUGAACUGAACUGAACUGAUAGCAAAUAUUCACUCAUGAUAGAAUCAUUAUCUACACAGUACAUUGUAAAUAUUACAUUGUAAUAUUACAUGUAUAUUAUUUACAUUACAAUGUAAAUACUACAUUGUAAAUAUUAAAAGAAAGAUCAACAUUACAGACUCCCUGCAGUGACCACUGGGGUAUUUACAGCAAAUUGCCUUCCUUAGAUUAUCUAAUCCAGAAGUUCAAAACAAGCUAACAAUCAGAAUGACCUGGGGAAUUUUUUUGAAGAUCUUUUUCAUUAUGAAAAUAUUUCAAACAUUCAGCAAAGCUGAAAGAAUUUUAUAGUGAAUGCUUGUAAACUCACAGUCUGGAUUUUACCAUUAACAUUUACAAUAACUGUUUUAUCAGUUAUCUGUCCCUCUAUCCAUCCCUUUACCCAUCCCUUUAUACAUCCUUUUUUCCUUACACAUACUGCCAGGAUCUAUAUAAUUUCCCUGGAGAACUUUCUAAAACUGUAAAUUUCAAGGCCUCAACCCCAGAGGUUCAUAAAACUACUCUGUACAGUAGAGAAAAAUGAUUUUAUAUAAAAGGAGGAAAAAAUAGAAAGGAGAAGUUCAGUUUAUUGCCUAUUAUAAAUUGCCUACUAUAAUCAUUUAAUGCAUGCCUAAGAUCAUGGUGUGACAGGGAAUACUGAUUCAGGAGCUUUUUCAACCUCCUCAGGUGAUUCUGAUGCACAGUGAAGUUCAGCAGCAUAUCAGUCAGAAGAAGCCAGGUUAUGCUGUUGAAGCUAGGUUACGCUGUAGUAACAAGUAAGCUGUUCUAAAAAUCUCUGAAUUAUAGAGUGAUAAAGAUGUUUCUUUUUUGUAUUCUUCCUCCACCUCUUCUUCUUCUUGUUCUGGACUAAUGCUACAUGUCUUGCCUGGGCUUCACUCUGGUAACCAUGUUAAUUGAUCCCCUGAUGUUCAAAAUAUUGCUAGUAUUACAGCAAGGUGAAAAGAUAUACAGUAAACCACGUAUAUUGGCCAUAAAACCCUCUGCCUAAAUGUGACACAUAUCCACCUCUGCCUACAUUUCACUGGCACUUGGGCACUUUUGACACAUUAUUGGCCAGAAGUUUAUUAAUGCAUCUUUUGUUACUCAAAAUUUAUUGACUGGAGACCUUUCACUAUCACUUACAUAAAUCACCAGCCACAGAUGUUAUUAGUAGUUUCUGCAAAAAUCCAUAUGAGUUGAGUUUAAAAGGUGAGGAUGAGUAGUAUUUCCUCACAGAGAAGCACUACUGAAAAGAAGCUGUAAUAUUUAGAAACAUAAUGUAAAAUGCAGAUGUUUCCAGAAAAAUAUCUGCCUCUGUUUCACUGACUACGCCAAAGCCUCUGACUGUGUGGAUCAUAAUAAACCAUGGAAAGCUCUUAAAGAGAUGGGAAUACCAGACCAUCUUACCUGUCUCCUGAGAAACCUGUAUGUGGGUCAAGGAGCAACAGUUAGAACUCUGUAUGGAACAAAUGACUGGUUUGAGACUAAGAAAGGAGUACUUCAGGACUGUCUGCUAUCACCCUGUUUGCUUAAUCUAUACACUGAGCACUUCAUGAGAAGUGCCAGACUGGAUGAGUUCCAAGCUGGAAUCAAGAUAGGCGGGAGAAACAUCAACAACCUCAGAUGUGCGGAUGAUAUCACUCUAAUGACAAAAAGCAAAAAGGAGCUAAAGAGCCUCUUGAUAAGAGUGAAGGAGGAAAGUGAAAGAGGCAGCUUAAACUAAAUAUUAAAAAAAACUAAGAUUGUGGCAUCCAGCCCCAUUAUUUCAUGGGAAAUAGAGAGGGAAAAAGUGGAAGUAGUGACAGAUUUCCUCCUCUUGGGCCCUAAAAUCUCUGCAGAUGGUGACUGCAACCAUAAAAUCAGAAGAUGUUUGCUUCUUGGCAGGAAAGCUGUGGCAAACCUAGGCAGUGUGUUGAAAAGCAGAGCGAUUACUCUGCCGACGAAGUUCCGUAUAGUCAAGGCUGUGGUCUUCCCAGUGGUCGUAAACAGCGGUGAGGGCUGAACUGUAAAGGAGGUAGAGCGUUGAAGAAUUGAUGCCUUCCAACUGUGGUCCUGGAGAAGACUCCUGAGAGUCCCUUGGACAGCAAGGAGAUCAAACCGGUCAGUUUUAAGGGAGAUCAACCCUGAAUACUCUUUGGAAGGGCUGACGCUGAAGCUGAAACUCCAGUGUUUUGGUCAUCUGAUGUGAACAGCUGACUCAUUGGAAAAGUCCCUGAUGCUGGGAGAGAUUGAUGGCAGAAGGAGAAGGGGGUGUCAGAGGAUGAGAUGACUGCAUGGCAUCACUGAUGCAAUGGACAAGAAGAUGGGCAAACUUUGAGAGAUGGUGAGGGAGAGGGAGGCCUGGUGUGCUGCAUGCAGUCCAUGGGGUCUUGAAGAGUGGGACAUGAUUGGGCAUCCGAACAAAACAAUGAUGUAAAAUAGCACAGAAAACCGCUAAUUUAAUAGAGACUCUGAUUUACAGACAAGGAAGCUAGCAUCUGAGGAUACAGAGUGACUCUCCCAAGGUCACCCUGCUACUUCAAACCAGAAAUGGUCUAGAAUCAAGGUCUCCUGACUCCCAAUGUUAUGUUCAAGGCUACCUCCCUGAAGCUCGAUAAUUUAAUAACUAUACACCAGGUAUUGAUAAAUAAGGCACAGUCCUUCUUAACAAAAACUGCUUCUUGGCCUUUUGGCUAAGAUCACAUGUAGUAUGGGGGUUCCCUCAUAGCUCAGUGGUAAAGAAUCUACCUGCCAAUACUGGAGAUGCAAGAGAAACAGGUCCAAUCCCUGGGUCAGGAAGAUCUCCUAGAGUAGGAAAUGGCUACCCAUUCCAGUUAAUAUCCAGAAGAUGUUAAGAAGAGGUGGCAAGAAUACACAGAAGAACUAUACAAAAAAGAUCUUCACGACACAAAUGAUCACGAUGGUGUGAUCACUCACCUAGAGCCAGACAUCCUGGAAUACUAAGUCAAGUGGGCCUUAGAAAGCAUCACUACGAACAAAGCUAGUGGAGGUGAUGGAAUUCCAGUUGAGCUA